UUUAUCCUUGCGAAAAAAGAAAAUCUAAAUUAUCGAAAGAAGUAGCUAAAGCCGAAGUCUGGAGUCAUGGCGUCUCCCGCCAUUAACGUUUACUCCAUCUCUCCCCAACAUCUCUGGCCGCCGUUAUCUCAUCCUCUCCCGUCGUUCAUAUGUCCUCACUAUUCUUCACCUCCGAUUCAGGUCUCCAGGUUUUGCCGCCAUAAACCUGUCGCCUUUUACUCUACCUAUCCACUUCGAUUUCGACCUUCUUUCCCAUCUCCGAGGUCCAUUCUCUCUCAAAAAUCCCAACUCUCCGAUGUCGACGAAGACGAGGAUGAAGAUGAGGAUGAAGAUGAGGAUGAAGAUGACGACGACGACGUUGCAGCCGAGGAGUACGACAGCGAUGCAUUGGGAGGAUUCGAGCAGAGCUACGAUGAAGUGGAAUUGUCGAUGGAAGCUACAGAAAUCUCCAGUGCGCCCGAGGAGUUCAAAUGGCAGAAAGUCGAAAAGCUUCUCGGAGAAGUUAGAGAGUUUGGAGAAGGAAUUAUCGAUGUCGAUGAGCUUGCUUCAGUUUAUAAUUUCCGCAUCGACAAGUUUCAGCGGCUAGCCAUACAAGCAUUCUUGAGAGGAUCAUCGGUGGUGGUAUCGGCACCUACCAGCAGUGGCAAGACUUUGAUUGCGGAGGCUGCGGCCGUCGCCACAGUAGCCAGGAAGAGACGAUUGUUUUACACGACUCCACUGAAAGCAUUGUCGAAUCAGAAGUUUCGCGAGUUUCGUGAGACGUUUGGAGACAGCAACGUUGGGCUUUUAACGGGAGAUUCUGCAGUUAAUAAAGAUGCACCGGUUUUAAUCAUGACUACAGAAAUUUUGCGCAACAUGUUGUAUCAGAGUGUUGGAAUGGCCUCAUCUGCAAGUGGACUGUUUCAUGUGGAUGUGAUUGUUUUGGAUGAAGUUCAUUACCUCAGUGAUAUUUCUCGGGGCACAGUGUGGGAAGAGAUUGUUAUUUAUUGCCCAAAAGAAGUGCAGCUUAUUUGUCUCUCUGCAACAGUUGCAAAUCCAGAUGAGCUGGCUGGCUGGAUUGGUCAGAUUCAUGGGAAAACUGAGUUAGUAACAUCAUCGAAGCGUCCAGUACCAUUGACUUGGCAUUUCUCUACAAAGACCUCUUUACUUCCUCUCCUUGAUGAGAAAGGAGCGCGCAUGAAUAGGAAGCUGUCGCUCAAUUAUCUUCAGCUUCAUGCUUCAGGAGCUAAAUUGUAUAAGGAUGAUGGAUCAAGAAGAAGAAACCCAAAAAGGCGUGGGAAUGAGAUCAGCUAUGACAAUAUUAGCAGCAUGUCUAGACAAGCUACACUUUCAAAGAAUGACAUAAACUCAAUCCGCCGUUCAAAUGUUCCUCAGGUGAUUGAUACAUUGUGGCAACUUAAGUCAAAAGAUAUGCUGCCUGCAGUUUGGUUUAUAUUUAGCAGGAAAGGAUGUGAUGCUGCUGUUCAGUACAUUGAAGGCAGCAACCUCUUAGAUGAUUGUGAGAGGAGUGAAGUCGAACUUGCAUUGAGGAAAUUCCGUAUUCAAUUUCCAGAUGCUGUCCGGGAAUCAGCAGUGAAAGGACUUCUCCAAGGAGUUGCUGCACAUCAUGCUGGCUGUCUGCCUCUGUGGAAGUCAUUCAUUGAAGAGUUGUUUCAGAGGGGACUUGUGAAGGUUGUCUUCGCAACAGAAACAUUAGCUGCUGGAAUCAACAUGCCAGCUAGGACAGCAGUUAUUGCAUCCCUGAGCAAAAGAAGCAAUAAUGGUCGUACCCAGUUAAGCCCAAAUGAACUGCUUCAAAUGGCAGGGCGUGCUGGACGUCGAGGCAUUGAUAAAAAAGGUCAUGUUGUGCUUCUUCAAACUCCAUAUGAAGGUGCUGAAGAGUGCUGCAAGCUCCUGUUUGCUGGCAUUGAACCACUUGUUUCUCAGUUCACAGCUUCAUAUGGAAUGGUACUGAAUCUUCUCGCUGGUGCAAAGGUUACUCAUACAAGCGAAAUGGAUGAGACGAAAGCUUUCCAAGCUGGGCGAACACUAGAAGAAGCUAGGAAGUUGGUUGAGCAAAGUUUUGGAAACUAUGUUGGGAGCAACGUCAUGCUUGCAGCAAAGGAAGAGCUUGUUAAAAUAGAAAAAGAGAUUGAAAUGCUCAACUUAGAAAUAACUGAUGAAGCUAUUGAUAGAAAAAGCAGGAAGUUCUUGUCAGAUGUGGCAUAUAACGAGAUAGCACAGCUGCAGGAGGAACUACGAUCAGAGAAACGUCACAGGACGGAACUGCGAAAAGAGAUGGAAGCACAAAGAGUUUUUGCCCUCAAUUCUCUGUUACGAAAUUUAGGAGAUGGACAGUUACCCUUUUUGUGUUUGCAAUACAAAGAUUCUGAAGGAGUCCAACAUUCAAUUCCUGCAGUUCUCCUUGGAAACAUGGACUCAUCAAAACUUGUUAACAUGUUUCCUGCUGAUAAUUCUUUGAAUGGUACAGAAUCUAAUCUUGGUAUCAACCUGGAGCCAGGUGCUGAAUCAUCUUAUUAUGUGGCUCUAGGUUCAGAUAAUUCUUGGUAUCUAUUUACUGAGAAAUGGAUCAAAACUGUUUAUAAAACUGGAUUUCCUAAUGUUGCUUUAACCAAAGGCGAUGCUUUACCUCGGGAGAUUAUGAGGAGUCUUCUUGAUAAAGAGGGAAUGAAAUGGGAGAAGCUUGCUGAUUCUGAGCUUGGCAGUUUAGCAUGUAUGGAAGGAUCUCUGGAAACAUGGUCAUGGAGUUUAAACGUGCCAGUUCUGAAUAGUCUUUCCGAAAAUGACGAACUCUUGCAAAUGUCUCAGUCGUACAUGGAAUCUUUAGAAAGGUACAAGGAGCAAAGAAAUAAGGUUGCACGAUUGAAGAAAAAGAUCGGUAGAACAGAAGGAUUCAGAGAGUACAAGAAGAUUUUAGAUAUGGCCAGUAUUAUAGAGGACAAGAUUAGGCAAUUGAAGACUAGAUAUAAACGGCUAAGUAAUCGAAUUCAGCAAAUCGAACCAUCAGGAUGGAAGGAGUUUUUGCAGAUCAGCAAUGUGAUACAUGAAAUCAGAGCACUGGAUAUAAAUACUCAUGUAAUGUUUCCACUUGGAGAAACUGCAGCCGCUAUCCGAGGUGAAAAUGAGCUGUGGAUUGCCAUGGUUCUAAGAAACAAAUUCUUAGUACAGCUAAAGCCUACAGAGCUUGCUGGUGUUUGUGCAAGUUUAGUUUCUGAGGGCAUCAAAGUGCGCCCCGGAAGAAAUAACAGUUACAUAUUCGAACCAUCAAGAACGGUAAUCAAUAUGAUCAAUUUCCUAGAAGAGCAGAGAAAUUCUCUUGAAGAGUUUCAAGAAAAGCAUGGAGUGAACAUAUCAUGCUGUUUGGACAGCCAAUUUUCAGGAAUGGUUGAGGCUUGGGCCUCUGGUUUGACUUGGAGAGAAAUGAUGAUGGAUUGUGCAAUGGAUGAGGGAGAUCUGGCACGCCUCUUGCGACGAACAAUCGACUUGUUGGCUCAAAUUCCAAAAUUGCCUGAUAUUGAUCCAUCUUUGCAAAGCAAUGCAUCAACUGCUUCUAAUGUCAUGAAUCGUCCACCCAUAAGCGAAUUGGCUGGAUAACCUUGUCUGAAAACGAUGAAUCUGUCUAUUCUUCCUGCUGCAUUUUGGCAAGCCAAAUUAACAGUGAUGGGACAUGUUCUUACGAGGUCGUUUAGCUGUUGGCUCAAAGUGAGCAAAGCACAUCUAAGAAGCUGCUUUAAGGAAUCAUAUGGAAAUUGUAGUCUACCUGAUGUGCAUUGUCAGGUUUCCAAGGAGAUCCUCUUUAUCAUGGCAAGGAAAAAGAUGUUCCAGAUCCCGCUGGUAGAUCCUAAGUCCAUUUGUGAGUUGAUUAGCCAGCAUAUGCAGAAGAGAAGCAGUAUUGUGGUGGGGUCCGAUGAGAAAGAUACGUUGGUGAUCGUCCACAUUCACUACUCUUACUGUAGGUUGGCAGCUACCUUAGGAGACAUUUUGGAAGGUGAACACUAAUGCUACUUGGAGCCUGUUUCUAAUGGGGGAGACCUAGGGUGAGUGCUUCGAGAUCAUCUAGGUCAUGUCUGAUUUGUGGGAUCAUAGUUCAUUCCUAAAUGUGGUGAGGUUAAGACAUUUGAAGUGAUGAUAAUUUGUUUGGGCAUGGAGAGCAUUUACCAAAUUCUUCACUCGAACCUCUUGGUUGAAUUUGCUUAGAGGUGAUCAACUUGCUAAAUAACACUUAAGAUGAUAUCACAGAGGUCUCUUAGUUUAUCAAGGAGGCAAAUACUUGGGGAUGUGUUUUGGAUGUUAUCUCUUUCUUUCAUUUUCGUCAAUGCCAAAAUGUUCUAGCGUAUUCUCUUGCGUUUAAAGCUUUAGAGAAGCGUAAGUCUUCCAUUCUUGCUAUUCUUUACACCGAGUGGUUUUCUAUACUUAUUUUGUUGGGCUUUAUGCCCUAAAACUCGUAGAUAGUGAAUGUAAUUAAAUGACCGUCAUUAAUAAAUAAUUACUAAUAUUUUUAUCAA